GCAGUGGGGAAUAUUGCACAAUGGGCGCAAGCCUGAUGCAGCGACGCCGCGUGAGGGAUGACGGCCUUCGGGUUGUAAACCUCUUUCAGCAGGGACGAAGCGCAAGUGACGGUACCUGCAGAAGAAGCACCGGCCAACUACGUGCCAGCAGCCGCGGUAAUACGUAGGGUGCAAGCGUUGUCCGGAAUUACUGGGCGUAAAGAGCUCGUAGGCGGUUUGUCGCGUCGUCUGUGAAAACCAGCAGCUCAACUGUUGGCUUGCAGGCGAUACGGGCAGACUUGAGUAUUUCAGGGGAGACUGGAAUUCCUGGUGUAGCGGUGAAAUGCGCAGAUAUCAGGAGGAACACCGGUGGCGAAGGCGGGUCUCUGGGAAAUAACUGACGCUGAGGAGCGAAAGCGUGGGUAGCGAACAGGAUUAGA
rnacentral:rRNA from 1 species